rnacentral:rRNA from 1 species
CAGUAGCCGCGGUAAUACGUAGGGUGCGAGCGUUGAUCGGAAUUACUGGGCGUAAAGCGUGCGCAGGCGGUUCGUUAAGACAGAUGUGAAAUCCCGGGGCUUAACCUGGGAACUGCAUUUGUGACUGGCGGGCUAGAGUAUGGCAGAGGGGGGUAGAAUCCCACGUGUAGCAGUGAAAUGCGUAGAGAUGUGGAGGAAUACCGAUGGCGAAGGCAGCCCCCUGGGCCAAUACUGACGCUCAUGCACGAAAGCGUGGGGAGCAAACAGGAUUAGAUACCCGCGUAGUCCCUGUCUCUUAUAA